UGUAGGAAAAAUAGUUGGCACAGCAACUGGUUUCAGCUUCUGUAUCCAAUGCUUUCUGCAAAGCCUUUCUAUAUACAGUAUCAGCUUUAUAAUCAGUUCAAAUUGGCAGAUGUAGUUCGUAAAGGGGUUAUAGAGUUAUCAAGAACAUGUCAACAUCUCUGUCCUCUGACAUUUAAAGUAAAAGAUCCAAUGGAAGUUCUGAUUCUCAUGGUCUGUGUUUUGGUUUAGAUUGUUUUGUGUUUUGCUUCAUGUUUUCCUGUUUCCCAUGGUUUACAUGUCUGUUUGUUUUGUGAGCUCAUUUAGGUAUUGCGCCCAGCUGUUUUCACUAACCUUCUACCUUGUGUCAACCACUUAGCUCCCUCCAGCCAUUUGGGUCUUAUCCAGGUUUUCCUCUGUGUCCCGUCAAUUUGUGUGUAUUUAGUUCCCUGGUUUUGUUCAGUUCUUGUCAGUUUAUUGUCAGUCAGUUAGUGUCACAUGUUGAUGUCAUCAGUUCUAUUACAACUAUGAGAGAGUGAACUGACCCAAGGAAGACCCAACGCAGAUGGAGGAAGUGACUCCAGAACCCAUCCCUGAUCCUUGGAAGUUGUAGCAGGCUCCAGUGGCACUUGUCCAACAGCCACCACCCAUCCUCGCUCUGGCGGUGCUCAUCCAGCGCUUGCCGCUCAUCCUCACUGCGAUGGUGGUAGUCCAGCGGCCACGACCCAAUCCUAGUCCGGGGGUGCUAAUCCAGUGGCUGCCACCCCACCCUUCUCUGGCCGCGUUCAUUCAAGGGCCGCCACCUGUCCUUGCACUGGUGGUGCUAAUCCAGUACCACCUGACCCUAUUGCCUAACUCCUGCCAUUGUUUUGCCAUCAUGGCCAUCCGCCUGAAUGACCCUGUGGAAACUCUGGUGCUAUGCAUCCUGGCCGACCUCUUGAUUGCCCAACCAAGCCCCUGAUGUCUGGUGGCCUGGACAACCAGACCGACCCUGAGGGCCAGACACUUGAGUUUAUUUUCGGGGGGGGAGGGCAGGGGAGGGUUUGGAAUUGCAUUGUGGGUAAAAUUAUUUGAGUUAAAAGCAUUAUCACAGAAUGCAUUAAACUUGUACGUUAAGGUAUUGUGCCAGCAAUCGGGAAGUAGGCAAGCACCUUCAAUAGAUCUUGGGAGCUAUGUUUAGUCCCAUCCUGACUCAAAGGCUUCACCGUCAUCCGAGUCCCCAAGAAACCUCCAAUUUUAAGACAGACUUGUGGCCUCUCACCCUGACAUCUGCAGCCAUGAAGUCCUUUGAAUGCCUCAUGCUGGACCAACUCAAGGACACCUGCUGGACCUCCUGAAGUUAACCUAUUGCUUGAGGACACAGCAUCAUUUACAUAAUACCAUUAUAUCAACAGAAUCACCCCGCUGGUAGUAGACUUUCAUUGUUCAAUGAUUGUCCAUAUUGGUGUUUUUUAUGUCCUAAAUAUACAGUAUAUUUUGUCAUAGUGUCUGUUUGUUGUCAUAGUAGAGUGGCUCAAACUACCAGAGACAAAUUCAUUGUGUCUUGUAAAACACUUGGCGAAUGAAGCUGGAACUAAUUCUGAUCAUUUCUAUGUUCUGGCCUUCCAAAGCUGAGUCAAGGAACUAACUAAAAUGAGGUAAUUUCAGCAAGACAAGAAAGUGUCAUUGGAUAUAAAUCUUGAUCUCUGCAAUAUUUGUGGCUGGAUGAGACUGGAUACCAUGGUGGCUGACGGGUUAGCACAAUUAGAGUUAGGUCCAGAUCUGCCUUUAACCAGUGUGGAAUGAUUAGGUUUACUAAACAUCCAUCCAUCUAUCCAUUUUCUUAGACGCUUAUCCUCACGAUGAUUGAUCCGAUAUGAUCAUUAUGAGGUUCAGAUAAUGGACGGAUGGUUUAGAGUGCCUCAUUGUUGGCCUUGAGUGUGCACACGUCACACGCCACACAGACAAAGGCAGAACACCAAGGAUUUUGAAGCCUCAUUUUAAAGGUGCAUCUAAAAAAUUUAAAAUGCUACCAGAGAAUUCAUUGAGGACUACAGUUCCAAAAGUGAAAAGCAUAAAUCAUAAAUUCAACACAGAAUAGUUCUUGGAAGACCACAAUUCCAACCUAAUUUCCAUAUUGAAAUCUUUUUGACCUAUGUCACAUUCUAAUUUCUUGGAGAUGGUGAAAUAUGGGUUUUUGUUAGCUGUAAGCUCAAAUGACCAAAGUAAUAGCAAAUAAAAAAGUGAACCAGUGAAUGUUUGAGUUUUUAAAUGAAACAACAGCGAUACAUGAAACUUUGUAAACAUAACACAAAGAAAUAUGGAAGUCAGGAAGCAAUCUCUGUGGUGUGUCCAAUUUAGAAGACAUUUAUAGACCCUUUCCAAAAUAUUACAAUAUUUUAUUCAAGUAUUCAAAUUUUUUGA